UCAGACUGCACGAGAUAAGUUGGGCAGUCAAAAGGGAAAGAGCCCAGACCACCGGCUAAGGUCCCAAAGUGCGUGUUAAGUGGAAAAGGAUGUGGGAAUUCGAAGACAACUAGGAUGUUGGCUCAGAAGCAGCCAUACAUUCAAAGAGUGCGUAACAGCUCACUAGUCGAGAGUUCCUGCGCCGAAAAUGUCCGGGGCUGAAACACGACACCGAAGCCGUGGACUCGCAAUGCGAGUGGUAGAGGAGCAUUCUUAAGACCGACGAAGCUGUACCGGAAGGAGCAGUGGAGGGAUAAGAAGAGAGAAUGCCGGAAUGAGUAGCGAGAGAAAGGUGGGAAUCCUUUCGGCCGAAUAUCUAAGGUUUCCAGAGUAAAGCUGAUCUGCUCUGGGUAAGUCGGGGCCUAAGCACAGGUCGCAAGACGUAAGCGAUGGAUAACAGGUUUAGAUUCCUGUACCACGCAUUAUCAGAACUGUAGGGACGCAUGUGGAAAGCACGAGCCGGGAAUGGAAAGACCGGUACAAGCGAGGUAGGAGUACAAUAGGCAAAUCCGUUGUAUGAUCCGAAGACGUGAUGUGGAGCGAAAUAAAGUAGUGAAGCGUGUGAGCCAUGUGCCGAGAAAAGCUGCUAUUGUGUAAUGCGUGCCCGUACCGUAAACCGACACAGGUGGAUGAGGAGAGAAUCCUAAGGCCGACGGAAGAAGCAUUGUUAAGGAAUUCGGCAAAAUGACCCCGUAACUUCGGGAGAAGGGGUGCCUGCGAGAGCAGGCCGCAGAGAAUAGGCUCAAGCAACUGUUUAGCAAAAACACAGGUCUAUGCGAAACCGAAAGGUGAGGUAUAUGGGCUGACGCCUGCCCGGUGCUGGAAGGUUAAGAGGAGAGGUUAGCGCAAGCGAAGCUUUGAAUUUAAGCCCCAGUAAACGGCGGCCGUAACUAUAACGGUCCUAAGGUAGCGAAAUUCCUUGUCGGGUAAGUUCCGACCCGCACGAAAGGCGUAAUGAUUUGAGCGCUGUCUCGACAAUGCAUCCGGUGAAAUUGAAGUACCAGUGAAGAUGCUGGUUACCUGCGCCAGGACGGAAAGACCCCAUGGAGCUUUACUCCAGCUUGAUACUGGGAUUCGGUAUUGCAUGUACAGGAUAGGUGGGAGGCUGAGAAUCGGUAACGCCAGUUGCCGAGGAGCCGCUGUUGGGAUACCACCCUUGCAGUAUUGGGUUUCUAACCAGCCGCCGUGACCCGGCGGUGGGACAAUGCCAGACGGGGAGUUUGACUGGGGCGGUCGCCUCCGAAAGGGUAUCGGAGGCGCCCAAAGGUUCCCUCAGAAUGGACGGAAACCAUUCGAAGAGUGCAAAGGCAGAAGGGAGCUUGACUGCGACACCGACGGGUGGAGCAGGUACGAAAGUAGGACUUAGUGAUCCGGUGGUAUAAAGUGGGAUUGCCAUCGCUCAACGGAUAAAAGCUACCCUGGGGAUAACAGGCUUAUCACUCCCAAGAGUUCACAUCGACGGAGUGGUUUGGCACCUCGAUGUCGGCUCAUCGCAUCCUGGGGCUGUAGUAGGUCCCAAGGGUUGGGCUGUUCGCCCAUUAAAGCGGUACGCGAGCUGGGUUCAGAACGUCGUGAGACAGUUCGGUCCCUAUCCGGCGUGGGCGUAGGAUAUCUGAGAGGAGCUGUCCUUAGUACGAGAGGACCGGGAUGGACGGACCGCUGGUGUACCGGUUAGACUGCCAAGUCUACGGCCGGGUAGCCAAGUCCGGAAGGGAUAAACGCUGAAGGCAUCUAAGCGUGAAGCCCCCCUCAAGAUGAGAUAUCCCUCCUUCGGGAGUAAGACCCCUUGAAGACUACAAGGUAGAUAGGGCAGAGGUGGAAGCAUGGCAACAUGUGGAGCUGACUGUUACUAAUAGGUCGAGGGCUUAAUCU
rnacentral:rRNA from 1 species